rnacentral:rRNA from 1 species
GGRAURGAMUUCCAGGAGGUAGCGGGUGAMAUGCGGUAGAWAUCUGGAGGGAAUACCMAAGGCGAAKGCAGUCCCCUGGUCCGAUAACUGACACUGAGGUACGAAAGCGGUGGGGGAGCAAACAAGGAUUAGAUACCCUGGUAGUCCACGCCCUAAACGAUGUCGAUUAGCCAUUGGAAGGACCCCUUUUCCUUUCAGUGGACGUAGCUAACGCGUUAAAUCGACCGCCUGGGAAGUACGACCGCAAGGUUGAAACUCAAAGGGAAUUGACGGGGACCUGAACAAGCGGUGAAUGAUGUGGAUUAAUUCGAUGCUACGCGAAGAACCUUACCUACCUUUGACAUGGCCAAAGUUCUACCGAGAGGCGGAAGUACUCGUAAGAGGAUUGGCGCACAGGUGCUGCAUGGUUGUCGUCAGUUCGUGUCGUGAGAUGUUGGGUUCAGUCCCGCAACGAACGCAACCCUUAUCUUUAAUUGCUCCUAUUUUAACAGGCACUUUAAAGAAACUGCCAAUGAUAAGUUGGAGGAAGGUGGGGAUCACGUCAAGUCCGCAUGGCCUUUAUAGGUAGGGCUUCACACGUCAUACAAUGGUUAGAACAAAGAGCUGCAAAUUCGUAAGAAGGAGCCAAUCUCACAAACCUAACCUCAGUUCGAAUUGCGGUCUGCAACUCGAGCGCAUGAAGCCGGAAUCGCUAGUAAUCGUGGAUCAGAAUGCCACGGUGAAUACGUUCUUAGGUCUU